CAAUACUUUUCCUCCUGACAGCGAUCUUGAGCCGGUUUUUCUGACGUUGAUUUUUGCCAGAUUGGACCAUCGCUGGCCAUUUUGCCUGCAUCCCUGUCUUCCCGUGCUGUCCUUACGAGGACCAACGGGUGCUGGCUGUCUGCUGCUGACAGUGGUUUCCAGAUCGGCCAUCAAAUUGAAAAUGGUAUUCUACAUUGAGAUCGUUGAAAUAAUGAGCAAUGGUGAAGGAUGAUGGCGCCUUAGUAUUCGAUGCAGCAGAGUCAGGUCCUGCACAUGUCAUCUCUUCAGGACGGCUGUCUUAGCAAUAUCAGGACCACGAUCGUGGCCAUAGAAUAUUUGACGAGAAUUCGUGAUGAAAAUUUUUAGUAACCCAUAUUAACGUCUCUCCUCUCCUAAUGCUCUCACCUCGCAGAGCUCGGUCUUAACGAAGUCUCUCAACGAGAACAUAAGAAUAAGGAAUUACCAAGUUUGGUCCGGCUCUGGACAAACAUGCAAUCAUGCGUCCAAGAGUC
rnacentral:lncRNA from 1 species